rnacentral:rRNA from 1 species
UACAGAGGUGGCAAGCGUUGUUCGGAAUUACUGGGCGUAAAGGCGAGUAGGCGGCCUUCUAAGUCAGACGUGAAAUCCCCCGGCUUAACCUGGGAACUGCGUCUGAUACUGGGAGGCUAGAGUAUGGGAGAGGGAUGUAGAAUUCCAGGUGUAGCGGUGAAAUGCGUAGAUAUCUGGAGGAAUACCGGUGCGAAGGCGGCAUCCUGGACCAUUACUGACGCUGAAUCGCGAAAACUAGGGGAGCAAACGGG